CACGUAGGGCGCAAGCGUUGUCCGGAAUUAUUGGGCGUAAAGAGCUCGUAGGCGGUCUGUUGCGUCCGCUGUGAAAACCCGGGGCUUAACCCUGGGCUGGCAGUGGAUACGGACAGACUAGAGGUAGGUAGGGGAGAAUGGAAUUCCCGGUGUAGCGGUGAAAUGCGCAGAUAUCGGGAGGAACACCAGUGGCGAAAGCGGCUCCUCGGUCCAGCACCGACGUUCAGGCACGAAAGCGUGGGGAGCAAACAGG
rnacentral:rRNA from 1 species